rnacentral:rRNA from 1 species
UGGGGAAUAUUGCACAAUGGGGGAAACCCUGAUGCAGCGACGCCGCGUGAGCGAAGAAGGUUUUCGAAUCGUAAAGCUCUGUCCUAUGAGAAGAUAAUGACGGUAUCAUAGGAGGAAGCCCCGGCUAAAUACGUGCCAGCAGCCGCGGUAAUACGUAUGUUGCGAGCGUUAUCCGGAAUUAUUGGGCUUAAAGGGCAUCUAGGCGGUAAGACAAGUUGAAGGUGUAAACCUGUGGCUCAACCAUAGGCUUGCCUACAAAACUGUUGAACUAGAGUACUGGAAAGGUGGGUGGAACUACACGAGUAGAGGUGAAAUUCGUAGAUAUGUGUAGGAAUGCCGAUGAUGAAGAUAACUCACUGGACAGAAACUGACGCUGAAGUGCGAAAGCUAGGGGAGCAAACAGG